CCUGUGCACCUUUUGUAGACUUGGGGGGGUAUGUUUUACUAUACACCAUAAAAGUUUAGAAUGUUUGGGAUACUAUAUAAUAAUUAUAAUACAACUUUCAACAAUGGAUCUCUUGGCUCUCGCAUCGAUGAAGAACGCAGCGAAACGCGAUAAGUAAUGUGAAUUGCAGAAUUCAGUGAAUCAUCGAAUCUUUGAACGCACCUUGCGCUCCUUGGUAUUCCGAGGAGCAUGCCUGUUUGAGUGUCAUUAAAUUAAUCAAAUUUCUUUUUUUGAAAGAAAAAAGGAAUUUGGAUUUGGAGUGUUGCUGGCUUGUCAAAAGUCAGCUCCUCUUAAAUACAUUAUCGUGUACACUUUGUGGAUAGGCUUUGGUUUGAUAAAAUAUCUAUGCCAUUGCUGUGAAGCAAAAGUCAGCUACUAAUGAGUUAGUUAACCACUAUCAUUAUCACUCUUGACCUCAAAUCAGGUAGGACUACCCGCUGAACUUAAGCAUA
rnacentral:rRNA from 1 species